UAAGGCGGUACAGAGCCUGCAGGUCCUGCUGCUGUCACUGUCCCAACUAUUUGCAGUAGUCUUCAACUAGUAGCGGACGGAUGGAGAGUAGCCAACAGGACCUGCCCCAUAAUUAACCUGACAUGGCGUCCAGCCAAUAAAAUUACUUUGUAGAAUGAGUCUGUCUAUGAUUGGCUGCGAAUAGUUCAUUGUCAUCGUUGUACCUGAGCUGUGGGUUUCCCAUGUGUUCCAGGCUUGACAACUCCGCUAGCCCUACACCCGAGCCGCCUUGAUUGUGAGGCUACUUAUUCAUACGCAGGCGCGGUACACAGAUAAGGUUGCUUGAAGGUCCCAGUGUGACGUAAAGAGAGAGCUCUCGCAGUGACCACGUCACUUGGAAUAAAAUUAGAGGUAGCCCUUGCCUUACAAAAGUCUGCCGACCCCUGCCAUAAAGUAACAGUUGGCCAGUUGGCCACUUUGUAACACUCUGUAGAGUAAUACUUUAGUAAACAAUUCUUAUUUAAAGCAA